rnacentral:rRNA from 1 species
CAGCAGCCGCGGGAAUACAGAGGGUGCGAGCGUUAAUCGGAUUUACUGGGCGUAAAGCGUGCGUAGGCGGCUUUUUAAGUCGGAUGUGAAAUCCCUGAGCUUAACUUAGGAAUUGCAUUCGAUACUGGGAAGCUAGAGUAUGGGAGAGGAUGGUAGAAUUCUAGGUGUAGCGGUGAAAUGCGUAGAGAUCUGGAGGAAUACCGAUGGCGAAGGCAGCCAUCUGGCCUAAUACUGACGCUGAGGUACGAAAGCAUGGGGAGCAAACAGGAUUAGAUACCCCCGUAGUCCCUGUCUCUUAUAC